CAGGGAGACAACAAAAUGUUUAAUAUUAUUAUUUUGUCACCUUAGGUCGAUCGGUAUCUCACGUUCUUAAUUUAUUAAGAAUUUCAUUUCCUAAGUUUUUCUAGGUCACACCCAUUAUUUUUCCUGGGCCAUUAGCUCAGGUGGUUAGAGCGCACCCCUGAUAAGGGUGAGGUCCCUGGUUCAAGUCCAGGAUGGCCCAUAUCUCUAUGUUGGGGGUAUAGCUCAGUUGGUAGAGCGCCUGCUUUGCAAGCAGGAUGUCAGCGGUUCGAGUCCGCUUACCUCCACUGAUUACCACCUCUUCCAUAUUUAGUAGAAAGGAAAUGUUUUGAGUUGUGAUCAAAUUCUGAACGAAUCUAGCUUCCUAAUGAAAUCAUUAAGAUGCUGGACUCAUUGAAUUAAUUUCAUUGUUUUCAGAGAACCUUGACAACUGCAUAGAUUAUUUUUAAAGACAAUAAGCAUCUUUAAUGAUGCAGAUUUAUUAUUUGUGCAAAUGCAUUAAUAACAAUUCUAUUAAGCUGAUGCUUCAAUUUUGAAGUUAUU
rnacentral:tRNA from 1 species